rnacentral:rRNA from 1 species
GACGAACGCUGGCGGCGUGCUUAACACAUGCAAGUCGAACGGUGAAGCGCUUUCCUUUUUGGUUGGUGUGGAUGAGUGGCGAACGGGUGAGUAACACGUGAGUAACCUGCCCCCUUCUUCUGGAUAACCGCAUGAAAGUGUGGCUAAUACGGGAUAUUCUGCGCCUGCUGCAUGGUGGGUGUGGGAAAGAUUGUGCCUUUGGGUGUUUUCGGUGGGGGAUGGGCUCGCGGCCUAUCAGCUUGUUGGUGGGGUGAUGGCCUACCAAGGCGGUGACGGGUAGCCGGCAGGAGAGGGUGGACGGUCAAACUGGGACUGAGACACGGCCCAGACUCCUACGGGAGGAAGCAGUGGGGAAGAUUGCACAAUGGGCGCAAGCCUGAUGCAGCGACGCCGCGUGAGGGAGGGAGGCCUUCGGGUUGUGAACCUCUUUCGCCAGUGAAGCAGGCCUGCUCCUUGUGGGUGGGUUGACGGUAGCUGGAUAAGAAGCGCCGGCUAACUACGUG